rnacentral:RNase_MRP_RNA from 2 species
CCCUCGCCCGAAAAAUCGCCAUCGAAGCUACAACAGAGAGAUUGCCAUUGCGGUGAUCUCUCUCGUCCACUUCAGCUUUGGGAGAAAGUCCCCGGACAUCUCUGGAAUCUUUUCCAGAGAAUAGCGGAAACGCGCCGCCAUAAAAGCACAGCGGCUCAUGCCCUCCCUACUGCCCUUCCACCGCUUUAGCUCGCCCCAGGUUAUCGCUACAUCUGCACAUUCACCCUAUUUCUUUUCUCUUCAGUCGUCCUCAGCUGCUACGAGAUGAAGAUAUGAGUCCGCAGUUUUGGUGCGGCCGGUUGAGACUAGAGCCUGGGGAGGUGUGUGUGAUGAUUUCUUGGUCGUGGGCUGAAAUGUGUGCCCUAGGGACGGGUUGCGGCACUUUUCGUCGAGAUUGAUAGUUAUGCGAUUGCCAGAGCUCCUUCCGGAGCAAAGGUUACUCGAUGGGGCUCACUCUUGGUGCGAGG